rnacentral:rRNA from 1 species
UACGGGGGGAGCAAGCGUUGUUCGGAUUUACUGGGCGUAAAGGGUUCGUAGGUGGCCACUUAAGUCAGACGUGAAAUCCCUCAGCUUAACUGGGGAACUGCGUCUGAUACUGAGUGGCUUGAGUGCAGGAGAGGAAUGCGGAAUUCCAGGUGUAGCGGUGAAAUGCGUAGAUAUCUGGAGGAACACCGGUGGCGAAGGCGGCAUUCUGGACUGUAACUGACACUGAGGAACGAAAGCCAGGGGAGCAAACGGG